UACGUAGGUGGCAAGCGUUAUCCGGAAUUAUUGGGCGUAAAGAGCGCGCAGGUGGUUGAUCAAGUCUGAUGUGAAAGCCCACGGCUUAACCGUGGACGGUCAUUGGAAACUGGUCGACUUGAGUGCAGAAGAGGGAAGUGGAAUUCCAUGUGUAGCGGUGAAAUGCGUAGAGAUAUGGAGGAACACCAGUGGCGAGGGCGGCUUCCUGGUCUGUAACUGACACUGAGGCGCGAAAGCGUGGGGAGUAAACAGGAUUAGAUA
rnacentral:rRNA from 1 species